rnacentral:rRNA from 1 species
GACGUAGGGCGCGAGCGUUGUCCGGAUUUAUUGGGCGUAAAGAGCUCGUAGGCGGCUUGUCGCGUCGACUGUGAAAUCCCGAGGCUCAACUUCGGGCUUGCAGUCGAUACGGGCAGGCUAGAGUUCGGUAGGGGAGACUGGAAUUCCUGGUGUAGCGGUGAAAUGCGCAGAUAUCGGAAGGAACACCAGUGGCGAAAGCGGCUUCCUGGUCCAGCACCGACGUCAGGCACGAAAGCGUGGGGAGCAAACAGG